rnacentral:lncRNA from 11 species
GUUUUCUCUGACACUCUGGAGAACAGGAGACAUGUGGUGUGCCUCAUUUGAAUAGUAUGCUAAAAGAAAUGAUCAGGUUACACCUGUUUAGGUUACACUGCCUAGGGAACCGUUGGAGUCACUUUCCGAGACCCGAAGCUGUAAAACUCCCUUUCUGAGAAGACAAAACAUUACUUUUUAAUGAUACCAGAAACCCGCUGUGCUCUCUGACAACCACUUGCUGUUAUACAGCAUCCUCACAUAUCCCACCAAAAGAGCGUUUGGAGUGAACUAGAUAACAUGGAGAAGGUGCAACAAUGCCUCUUGUCUCUCCAGAAGUAGAAGAAAUGAGCUGGGGAUUUCUCCGUGAUAUUCUACGUCAGGUGAAUAAAUAUUCAACUGGAAUCGGCAGAAUCUCCCUGGCUAU